rnacentral:rRNA from 1 species
CACCAGGUUGAUUCUGCCUGACGUAUGUGCUUGUCUUGAAGAUUUAGCCAUGCAAGUUAGUGAAACAUUUUAAGUGAAACGACAGACAGCUCAGUAAUACAGUAAUGAUUAACUCGUAAAUAAUCUGGAUAACCUUGGUAACCUAAGGCUAAUACAGUAAAAGUAAAUUAAGGUGAAACAUUUUAACUUAAAACGAUUAAGUUUCUGACCUAUCAGAUAGAUUUUAGGGUAAUGGCCUAAAAUGCCUAUAACGGGUAACGGAGAAUUAGAGUUUGAUUCCGGAGAGGGAGCCUGAGAAAUAGCUACCACGUCUAAGGAUGGCAGCAGGCGCGAAAAUUACCCAAUUCCUUAAUGGGAGAGGUAGUGAAGAGACAUGAAGUUUAAAUUUUCCUUGAGUAGGUACAAUAAAACUGUACAGAAGCAACUGGAGGGCAAGUCUGGUGCCAGCAGCCGCGG